UACGAAGGGGGCUAGCGUUGCUCGGAAUUACUGGGCGUAAAGCGCGCGUAGGCGGAUCGUUAAGUCGGGGGUGAAAUCCUGGAGCUCAACUCCAGAACUGCCUUCGAUACUGGCGAUCUUGAGUCCGGGAGAGGUGAGUGGAACUCCGAGUGUAGAGGUGAAAUUCGUAGAUAUUCGGAAGAACACCAGUGGCGAAGGCGGCUCACUGGCCCGGUACUGACGCUGAGGUGCGAAAGCGUGGGGAGCAAACAGG
rnacentral:rRNA from 1 species